AUCCCAUGGUGUGGACAUCUCCAUUGUAAAUCCUUAUAUCUCUCCCAUACUUCAUACAAGUUCUCAUCAUUUCUAGGUCUGAAAGAAGUUAGCUCAUUUCAUAGUUU